rnacentral:rRNA from 1 species
UUGGCGGACGGGUGAGUAACACGUGAGCAACCUGCCUUUGAGAGGGGAAUAACGGCUGGAAACGGUCGCUAAUACCGCAUAAUGUACGGAUGGGACAUCCUGUCUGUACCAAAGAUUUAUCGCUCGAAGAUGGGCUCGCGUCCGAUUAGGUAGUUGGUGAGGUAACGGCCCACCAAGCCGACGAUCGGUAGCCGGACUGAGAGGUUGAACGGCCACAUUGGGACUGAGACACGGCCCAGACUCCUACGGGAGGCAGCAG